rnacentral:misc_RNA from 1 species
UGUUCGAGCGUCAUUGCAACCCUCAAGCACUGCUUGGCAUUGGAUGCCACCAUUAUGGUGCAUCUCAAAAAUAUUAGCCGGUGGCAUUCAGCUUCUAGUGUAGUAAAUUUCUCGCUAUGGAGUCUGGGUGCUGACCUGCUAGAACCCCUAAUUUGUCAAAGGUUGACCUCGGAUCAGGUAGGGAUACCCGCUGAACUUAA